UACGAAGGGGGCUAGCGUUGUUCGGAAUCACUGGGCGUAAAGCGCAUGUAGGCGGAUGCUUAAGUCAGGGGUGAAAUCCCGAGGCUCAACCUCGGAACUGCCUUUGAUACUGGGGAUCUUGAGUCUGGGAGAGGUGAGUGGAAUUGCGAGUGUAGAGGUGAAAUUCGUAGAUAUUCGCAAGAACACCAGUGGCGAAGGCGGCUCACUGGCCCGGUACUGACGCUGAGGUGCGAAAGCGUGGGGAGCAAACAGG
rnacentral:rRNA from 1 species